AGAGUUUGAUCCUGGCUCAGGACGAACGCUGGCGGCGUGCUUAACACAUGCAAGUCGAACGGAAAGGCCCUUCGGGGUACUCGAGUGGCGAACGGGUGAGUAACACGUGGGUGAUCUGCCCCGCACUCUGGGAUAAGCCUGGGAAACUGGGUCUAAUACCGGAUAGGACCGCAUGCUUCAUGGUGUGUGGUGCAAAGCUUUUGCGGUGUGGGAUGAGCCCGCGGCCUAUCAGCUUGUUGGUGGGGUAAUGGCCUACCAAGGCGACGACGGGUAGCCGGCCUGAGAGGGUGACCGGCCACACUGGGACUGAGAUACGGCCCAGACUCCUACGGGAGGCAGCAGUGGGGAAUAUUGCACAAUGGGCGCAAGCCUGAUGCAGCGACGCCGCGUGAGGGAUGACGGCCUUCGGGUUGUAAACCUCUUUCAGUAGGGACGAAGCGAAAGUGACGGUACCUACAGAAGAAGGACCGGCCAACUACGUGCCAGCAGCCGCGGUAAUACGUAGGGUCCGAGCGUUGUCCGGAAUUACUGGGCGUAAAGAGCUCGUAGGUGGUUUGUCGCGUUGUUCGUGAAAACUCACAGCUUAACUGUGGGCGUGCGGGCGAUACGGGCAGACUGGAGUACUGUAGGGGAGACUGGAAUUCCUGGUGUAGCGGUGGAAUGCGCAGAUAUCAGGAGGAACACCGGUGGCGAAGGCGGGUCUCUGGGCAGUAACUGACGCUGAGGAGCGAAAGCGUGGGUAGCGAACAGGAUUAGAUACCCCGGUAGUCCAA
rnacentral:rRNA from 1 species